rnacentral:rRNA from 1 species
UACGUAGGGAGCAAGCGUUGUCCGGAAUCAUUGGGCGUAAAGCGCGCGUAGGCGGCCCGAUAAGUCCGCUGUGAAAGUCAACGGCUCAACUGUUGGAUGCCGGUGGAUACUGUCGGGCUAGAGUACGGAAGAGGCAAGUGGAAUUCCUGGUGUAGCGGUGGAAUGCGCAGAUAUCGGGAGGAACACCGAUGGCGAAGGCAGCACUCUGGGCCGGUACUGACGCUGAGGAGCGAAAGCGUGGGGAGCGAACAGG